AAAAAUAUUAUUAUAAUAAGGAGUGGUUAAGAAUCUUUUGUUAUUUUAUAAUUAUAUUUAAUUAAAAUUUCUAUAAAGAUAUAUAAUGAAAAUGAAUUGAAACAUCUUAGUAAUUAGUUUGAAUACUUGUUUGAAAGUAAUGGCGAAUGAAAUCAAAACCCUAAAAAUAAUUAUUGCUUCGACAAUAAAAACAUAAAUCACUACCUUUAAAAUAAGUACUGUGAAGGAAAAAAUUAAUAAUAUGAAUAAAACUAUGAAAAUCAUUUACCUUUUGUAUAAUGGAUUUACAAGACUAAUUAUUAGCAAGCUUAUAGGCUAAAAUAAAUUAAAUAAGUUAAUAACACCCGAAACCAGAUGAUCUAAUUAUGAAAUUUUUAUCGAAAGUAUUAGUGAAUGUAGAAUAAUUCUUAAAUUAUUUAUAAUUAGCAGUGAAAAACCAAUCGAAUCUGGAUAUAGCUGGUUUUCUACGAAAAUUAUUUAAGUAAUAGUUUAAACUCAGACUUUAAAGUAAAAGCUCUAAGGUCGAAAGGAAAACAAUCCUAAUUAAAAAUUUAUGAGUUUUAUAUUAAGAUUAAGAAGUUUUACUUAUUAAAACACUACGUAAAUAGGACUAGAAACAACCAUAUUUUUAAAAAUACGUAAUAGUAUACGUAAUAAAAAACUUAAAACUAAAAUAAAACUAAAAUCAUUCAGAUAUUUUAACAUAAAUAAGUAGUAGAAUAAUUUAUAAUUUACUUAGAAAUAUAUAAAUGAAAUAAUGUAAAUAUGACUAAAACACAUAUAUUCCCAAGGUUUCUUAUUUUAAUAUAUUGAAUAAGAUAAUACGGCCUAUAACUUCAAUAUAAGUAUUAAAAAAUUAAUUACAAGAAUAAUUAAUAUAAAUAACCGUACUUAACUAAAUCAAGAGGGAAUUAAAAUAAAACAAAACUCUACCUAAGGAACUCGGCAAAUUCUUAUAUCGACUGUUUACCAAAAACAUAGCCCUUAAAGUAAUUAAAGGUGUAACCUGCCCAAUGAUUGUAAAAUUAAAAAUUUUGAAAGAAUUUUACUACAAUUUAAAGGACGCGGUAUCUUGACCGUGGUAAUGUAGCAUAAUCACUCGCCACUUAAUUGGUGGAUAGUAUGAAUGGUUGAACGAAUAUAACACUGUCUCAGGUAGAGGUUUUAUAAAAUUGGAUUAAUAGUAAAGAUACUAUUUUAAAUUAUAAGACGAAAAGACCCUAUAGAGCUUAACUAUAAUCUUUUUUUAACUAUAUAAAUUUAUUUAUAAAAAUAAAAAGAUGGGUAGUUUAGUUGGGGCGACUAUCUUCUAAAUAUAACGAAGAUAAACAAUAUUAAUAAAAUAAUUUAUUGUAUAAUAAAUGAAUUUAACAAUUACUAAAGUAGGUAAUAAUGACCCGUUCCCAUUUCAGAAAAAAGGGAACGAUCAAUUGAUAAAAGCUACCUUAGGGAUAACAGGAUAAUUUUAUCUUAGAGAUCUUAUCGAAGAUAAAGUUUGUCACCUCUAUGUUGAAUUAAGAUAUCCUAGUAAUGCAGCAGUUACUAAAGGUAGGUCUGUUCGACCUUUAAAAUCUUACAUGA
rnacentral:rRNA from 1 species